UGAGCGCGCAACCCCAGAGUCGGUCACAACUGGACCUAAUGGUCAGGGGCCCCUUUACCUUUACAUAUAUAAUAAAGGGAUGUGGGUGGCGCUGUGGGUUGAACCACAGAGGCUAGGGCUUGCUGAUCUGAAGGUCGGCAGUUCGAAUCCCCGCCAUUGCUCGGUCCCAGCUCCUGCCCACCUAGCAGUUCAAAAGCACAUCAAAGUGCAAGUAGAUAAAUAGGUACGACGUUUCCGUUCACUGCUCUAGUUUCGCCAGAAAUCAUGCUGGCCACAUGAUCCAGAAGCUUUCUGCGGACAAGGAUAAAGAGUCAGAGAGUGAAGAAGAAGAAGAAGAUAACAAUUUAAAUAAGAAACCCGACCAAGACUAGAUAAAAUCUUUCUUCCUGAUAUUAGGAAGUAAAAUGGCAUUGAAGAUACAUUCCUGGAAUGUGAAUGGCUUGAAUAAUAAAGCUAAAAGGAAUAAAAUUGAUCAUAUUUUGAAGAAGAAAAAUUUGGAUAUAAUUUGUCUCCAGGAAACACAUGUGGCGAAAAAACAUAGUUAUAUUCUUAGAAAUAAAAGGUUGGGUAAAGAAUUCAUAAAUUCGGCAGAAAAUAAGAAGAGAGGAGUGGUUUUGUAUAUAAAGGACAAAUUGGAUCCGAAAUUGAUCUUUAAAGAUGAAGAAGGAAGAGUGAUAGCGGUCCAAAUAUCGACCCAAGGAGAAAAAAUGUUGGUGGUGGGAAUUUAUGCACCGAAUGAGAAUAAAGCGGAAUUUUACAAGAAUUUGGAGGAAAGGUUGACAGAGUUCAUGGAUCAAAAGAUAGUGCUUAUGGGUGAUUUCAACGGAGUGACAGUGCCAGAAUUGGAUAGGACAAAGAAAAGGAAGAAUGAAGGUAAAUUACCAAAAUCUUUCUUUGAACUGGUAGAAAACCUGGGCCUAGUGGACAUUUGGAGGUUGAAGCACCCUACGACUAAACAGUUUACGUUCUUCUCAGAACCAAACCAAAGUUCGGGAAGAAUAGAUUAUAUAUGGAUCUCCAAAGAACUAGUGCCCAGGGUGAGCAAAACAGAGAUAAUACCACGAACACUGUCAGAUCACAACUCAAUAUUCAUGGAACUGAAAAGCAAAGAUCAAAAUUCUUUUAGGUGGAGAAUGAACGAAGAGCUUUUCGAAGACAAAGAGGUGGUGAAGAAAGCCAAGAAUGUCCUGAAAGACUAUUUUUACUGGAAUUUAUAUAAGGACACUGGACUCGACAUGGUAUGGGAUGCAAGCAAAGCAGUGAUGAGAGGCUUUCUGAUACAGCAAAACAGUUUCCUGAAACGAAAGAAAGAAAAGAAGAAGGAAGAAAUUUUGAAAUGUCUCAUGGAAAACGAGAAAAACCUGAUAGAUAAACCAGAGAAUCAACAAAUUAAAAACAACAUAAAGAUGUUACAGACACAAUUCUCUAUGUUGAUCAAUCAGGAGAUAGAGUGGAAAAUAAAACAGAUGAGACAAAAAAAAUUCGAAUUAGCUAAUAAAACUAAUUAGCUAAUUAAGGAAACGUCAAAAUCAAAAUAUAAUAACCAAGAUAAAUAUGGAGGGAAGAGUGACAGAGGAACCAAAGGAAAUUAAGAAAGCCUUUCAAAAAUUUUACAAAGAGUUGUAUGGUAAAAAGAAAGAAGAGGAGAAGAAGAUCAGUGAUUACUUGGGAAAUUUGGUCUGAAACAAAUUCCUGAAGAGGAAAGAAAGAAACUUAAUAACAGGAUAACAGCACAAGAAGUACAACAUGCAAUAAUGAGAAUGAAACAAGGAAAAGCCCCAGGACCAGAUGGACUUUCAGUGAAAUACUAUAAAGUUUUAAAUGGACAGUUGGCACCGAUUUUAGAAGAAGUGAUGAAUGAUAUUCUUGCAGGAGGAAAGAUCCCAAAUACAUGGAAGGAAGCGUAUAUAACAUUGAUUCCAAAGCCAGGUGCGGAUGGCUUAGAAGUCAGAAAUUAUAGACCAAUUUCAUUAUUGAAUAAUGACUAUAAGCUCUUUGCAGAUAUAAUGUCUAAGAGGUUGAAAGAAGUCUUGAAUGAAAUAAUACAUAAGGAUCAAGCUGGUUUUCUUCCUGGUAGACAGUUAAAGGACAAUGUUAGACAUAUAAUAGAUGUAAUAGAGUACCUGGAAACCAAGAUAGAUAAGCCAGCAGUAUUAAUGUUUGUGGAUGCAGAGAAAGCAUUUGAUAAUAUAUCUUGGCAGUUUAUGAAGAGGAAUUUGGAAUCGAUGGUUGGGAAAGAUUCAUUUUUGAAUGGGAUCGAGGCAAUAUAUUCAGAACAAAAAGCAAGAUUGAUAAUCAACAAUACAUUAACAGAAUAUUUUGAUAUCACAAAAGGAACUAGACAGGGAUGUCCUUUAUCUCCUUUAUUAUUCAUCAUGGUCCUGGAAGUGCUAUUGAAUAGAUUAAGAGACCUUUCCGCUAUCAGAGGAAUCAAAGUCGGUGCAAAACAAUUUAAAGUGAAAGCCUUCGCGGAUGAUUUGGUUCUAACAUUCGAAAAUCCCAAGGAAAGUGUUGCAGAAGCUAUAGAAGAAAUUGAGAAAUUUGGCCAACUGGCAGGAUUUAAAUUAAAUAGACAGAAAACAAAGGUUAUGGCAAUGAAUAUGACGAAAGAGGAAAAACAGGAGUUACAGCUAAAAUAUGGUUUCGACGUGGCAAAAAAAGUAAAAUACCUCGGAAUAUGGAUGACAGCAAAGAAUAUUAAUCUAUAUAGUGACAAUUAUGAACCAGUAUGGAGAGAAAUAAAGAAAGACCUGGAAAGAUGGACUAAUAUGAAUAUGUCAUUCAUAGGAAGAAUAGCAGCAAUAAAGAUGAGUAUAUUACCUAAAAUGUUAUUCCUAUUCCAAACUAUACCUGUUGUGAAGGGUACAAGACAAUUCCAAGAAUGGCAGAAGACUUUGUCAAGAUUUGUCUGGCAGGGGAAAAAGCCUAGAAUAAAACAUAAAAUUUUGGUAGAUAGAAAAGAAAGAGGCGGAUUCUCUCUACCAGACUUGAGACUUUAUUACGAAGCGUCUUGUAUGUGUUGGAUAAAAGAGUGGAUAACUCUAAAGAAUACGGACCUGCUAGAUUUGGAAGGUUUUAAUAAUAGAUUUGGAUGGCAUGCAUAUUUAUGUUAUGACAAAAAAAAGUCUCAUACAGGGUUUACAAACCAUGUGAUAAGAAGAUCUCUGUACGAGGUGUGGGAAAGAAAUAAAAUGCUGUUAGAGACUAAAAAACCAUGGUGGGUUUCACCAGUAGAGGUAUUAACAGUCAAAAAAGUAAAUAUGGAGGGGAGGUGGGCCACGUACGAGGAAAUUUUUGACAAGGACUGAAAAAGGAUGGAGAUUAAAACCCUACGAAGAAAUUAAAGGAGUUUUAACAGGAUGGAUACAAAAGGUCCAAAUUCCAAAUAGAAGUGCUAGAAGGCAAAACAAAGCUUCUGUCAAAAAUGUAUGAUUUGUUGUUAGAGUGGUACACAAAAGAUGAGUUGACAAAAUAAGUGAUGAUUAAAUGGGCAAAGGAUUUGGGGCAUAAUAUUGAAUAUGACGCGUGGUUGAAAUUAUGGAAUCAAACUUUAAGAUUUACAGCAUGUACUGCUUUGAAAGAAAAUGUAUAUAAGAUGAUGUAUAGAUGGUAUUUAACACCAGUUAAAUUAGCUAAAAUGUAUAGAAUGAGUGAUAAAACUUGCUGGAAAUGUAAAGAGAGAGAUGGUGAAUUUUAUUAUAUGUGGUGGACAUGCGAUAAGGUAAAAAGAUUUUGGGAGAUGCUUUAUAAUGAAUUGAAAAAGAUGUUUAGAUAUACUUUUCCAAAAAAACCGGAAGCAUUUUUGUUAGGAAUAAUAGGAGGAGAGAUUAGAAAAGAAGAUCAAGUAUUGUUUAUGUAUGCGACAACCGCGGCUACGACAUUGUUAGCUCAAAAAUGGAAAUUACAGGAAUUACCAACAAUUGAGGAGUGGCAGACAAAAAUGAUGGACUAUGCUGAACUUGCUAGGUUGACUUGCAAGAUCCGCGACCAAGGUGAGACGAGGUUUCAAAAAGACUGGAGUAAAUAUGUGGACUAUAUGGAGAAAAACUGUAGAUCUUUAAAAACACUUGCAGGAUUGAAAUAAAUCCUACGAAUUGACUAAAAAGGUCAAAAAGGAACUGCAAAAAUGGAGUUAACAAGAAACCCGCAAGAAGGGAGGGGGGGAAGUUACAGCUCGGCAGAGCAAGAUGUAAGAUGAAAAUAUAAGAUGUUUUGUAUAAAAGAUUGUUUUUUUUAUUUUAAUUUGAUAAAUUGGAAAAUGGAAUAAAAUUUAUUUUAAAAAAAACACAGAAGCUUUCUGCGGACAAACGCCGGCUCCCUCGGCCAAUAAAGCGAGAUGAGUGCCGCAACCCCAGAGUCAUCCUAGACUGGACCUAAUGGUCAGGGAUCCCUUUACCUUUACCCUUUAAGCUUGUUGAUGUUAUAAUAAUUUUAAGGUCACACACAUACACACACAUAAUAGAUGUUCAUAAAUGUACCAAGCAAACACAUACAAAUAUGUAAACCACAUUUCUGAAACCCACAGAAAAGUCCUGAAACCAUUUUCUCUCUUCCAAAUUCCAAAUUGACCUCAGAUAUUUCUCUGCAAGGUCAAAGGAAAUGGGGAAUCUCCCCGUUGUCUCUUUGCUCACAAAUCCUGUCUCAAGGGCACAUUUAAGAUAUGAAUAGGGUGAACCUGUGACCUGGAUUUAGGAAUUGAAUAACAAAAGAGUGGCCAGGAUGCCCAGGUAAUCCAAGCAAGUAACCUAGCAGACAGGAGGAAAAACAACACACUCAGAUUUCUGUUGUAGUCCGCCCCUUCUCCGAUGUAUCUGGGGGGGUGGUGGUCUUGAGCUACAGGGUGGGCAAUUUCAAAGUGUAUAUAAGGGCUUGCACACCUUUGUCCGGGGUCCUCCUCUCUCCUGCGUGUGGGGGGAGCACCCUGUUACAACAGCUUUAAUAAAGAUCAGGCUUAUAGCUGCUUUGCUUUCGUAUAUCCUGCUCUGGUCUCUGUUCAUUUCCUGACCGGUUUGAGCUGUAAAAGAUACGCUCUCUCCAAAGGUCCAGUCCCUUGAAGGGACCCCUCAUUGACUCUGGAAUUUCAUGGGAAAUUCAAUACAGUACAGAAAUGCAAGUAUCAUUAUUCGAGGAAGCCAUAAAUACCCAGUUUUAAAACUGAUGUUUCUCUCUCUUUGCAAAUAUGCCAUGGGUGGCCAUACCUGAAUCUGGAAGCUGGAUAUAUUUCUCUAGCUAAAGAUCAGUCGCUUCGGCUGGAAGCUAGAGUCUGCAAAGCGAGGGAGGAUAUGGAUCUGUUGAAUAGGCAAGGGCAGAAAGAGCUACAUUGCUUCAUGCAACGUCUUUAGACUCCCAGAAAUCUCCUGCUGUGACAUGGAUAUAGUGAACUACUACAUUUUUUGACCGCUUCAAUUCAGUCCCCUGCUCUGAACCCUUCAGCAGUAUCCAUAAUGGAGUCAUAGCUGUGUUCCAGCGAAAAGGUCUUGCAGAACACGAACUCUACAAUCUGAAUGAAGGAGUCAGGUGAGUCAGAUCAGCAGAUUGUACACCUGUCCCAAGACACAGAAAUCACCACGGAGGGUCAUUGUUUCAUAAGUGAUCUGUACCAUUUUACUUUAUUCCAGCUAUUGAUAUAGUGGCACUAUUGACAGUGCAGAGAGAUGCACAAAGGCAAGCUCCUCAAGGAAUUAACGUAGGCUCUGCUGCUGUUGUUGGCAUCCAUCUUUCUUGAGAGACAAUGGAGUGUGCCUCCAGGGGUGUAGCCAAACGGCUGUGUUAGCAGCACCAAAGUGACCUCCCUGGGGUGCAAGAGGGUAGUUACCAUAUUUUUGCCCUUGAAAAGUUCAUACAGUUGAAGAGAGGAUCUUUCCAGCUUCCUCCUUCAUCUCAGUGUGCAUUUCCCUUUUCAUACAAGCCCUGCAACUUUUCAAAGGUGCCAGAAAACAGCAGGGCUAAUCACCAACCCUCCUUUAGACAGCAGCAGCCAGUCCUGUUUCACCACCUGAGGCGAAAUGACACAGAGCUGUUGCCCCUUGGCCGAAGCCUCACUUACUGGGGUUGCAAGAUCUCGCUCUUUCUCCUCACGUCUCGGGCAGCAGGAGCAGGCGGAGCAGCGACAAGGGGGCUGCCUUGAGGUAUUCACCACCCAAGGCAGCUGCCUCAGGCUGCCUCAUGGGUGGGCUGGCCCUAGCUGUAGGUGUUGUUGUUUAGUCGCUUAGUCGUGUCCGACUCUUCAUGACCCCAUGGACCAUAGCACGCCAGGCACUCCUGUCUUCCACUGCCUCCCGCAGUUUGGUCAGACUCAUGUUGGUAGCUUCGAGAACACUGUCCAACCAUCUCGUCCUCUGUCGUCCCCUUCUCCUAGUGCCCUCCAUCUUUUCCAACAUCAGGGUCUUUUCCAAGGAUUCUUCUCUUCUCAUGAGGUGGCCAAAGUAUUGGAGCCUCAGCUUCACGAUUUGUCCUUCCAGUGAGCACUCGGGGCUGAUUUCCUUAAGAAUUGAUAGGUUUGAUCUUCUUGCAGUCCAUGGGACUCUCAAGAGUCUCCUCCAGCACCAUAAUUCAAAAGCAUAGCUGUAGGUAGAGGAGACAUAUUUAAAAUAUGUUAUGUGGUUGCUGUAAGCGAUAAUACCUUUUAUCCUUUUCUUGAUGCCCACUGAGGCUAGAAUUUUCUACCCCUCCUCCAGCAGCCUUCUUUGUUUAUCUGCUGGCUGUGGACAAAGAUGCUGUGCCUUCGCCCUGCCCAGCAUGAAGAGCAAGCAGGCUUGCAGCAAAAGCCUGGAGCACUGCAUGCCCCCUGUCCUUCCCCUGCCAGCCCGCUUCAUUUCUACACUGGCUCUAGAUAAGGGCUAUGUUCCCUCCUAUGUGUACAGCAUAAAAGCCAAGAGCUGGCAGGAAAUGUGCAGGUCGCUCCAUGUCUCCUUCACCAGGUUGCUAUAUUUGCUAUACAGUCAUACCUCGGGUUACGUUUGCUUUGGGUUACGUACUUUUGAGUUGCGUACUCCGCAAACCUGGAAGUAUUUUUUGCCGCGCACGCAGUCUGUGCAUGCGCAGAAGCGUUAUGCGCAGAAGCGCAUGCACAGAAGCGCGCUUCCUCGCUCGUUUGGGUUACAUACUUUUCGGGUUAUGAACCUCACCCCUGAAGGAAUCUACGUAACCUGAGAUACCACUGUAUAUUUUUCCUAGUCUGUUUUCUACUUAUAAGAGAGGCUGGCAAAGAAGUGAAAAACACUCCAUUCAUCCUCUACUGGGCCACUUUUAGGAGUUAAACAAAUCUGAUAUAUUUUAUUUUUUAUUAUUUGUAGUCUAGGGUUGACUUUGUAUGGCUGCGGUAAAAGGAUAGGAAGAUAAGGCCAUGAAAAGCUCUUCAUGGCUGGUAAAGCUGAAAUAAGCCUGUCCUUUGAAGGUCUUUGCUGCAUUUCCUAAGGGCUAGUUGGAAUAAUUGUUCUUUCCUGUGCUAUAUUUUUUGGAGCAGACGUAUCUUUUCCCCUGCACUGAUUAUGUUGGUAAGAAUUUUAGAUAUUUACUGUACUGUAUGAGAAGAACAGAAUUUGAUAACAAAUGUGCUUUUAACAUUGUUGAAUGAAUGAACUGAUGGAUAGGAGAGACAGCUGUCAGAAUGGUGGAAGUCUAAGGCAGUGUUUCCCAACCUUGUGCCUCCAGAUGUUUUGAGACUACAACUCCCAUCAUCCCUAGCUAGCAAGACCAGUGGUCAGGAAUGAUGGGAAUUGUAGUCCGAAAACAGCUGGAGGCACAAGGUUGGGAAACACUGGUCUAAGGCAUAUAGAGGGUCACACAUGAGAGAGGGAUCAGUUGCGUCAAAGGCAACAAAGGAAGCAGAACAAGAGAGAGAAGAGACCUUUGGACUUGCCAACAAGAAGAUUGUCCGUGGAGUGCAAAGGGUGGAAGCUAGAUUGUAGGGGCUGAGAAAUGGAGCUGGAAGAGUAAGCCAAGUACCGGUAGGAGUGAGCAGCCUGCUGAAAAUUUGAGGAAGACAAGAAGAGAGAGGAAAUUGUGAUAAAGCAGGAUAUCAGUGACUCAAGCUUUGAGGUAUUUUUAGCUGCUUCCAGAUGCUGGUGACAGACAAAGCACAUUGCAGAAUUGCUUUGCUAACCUCUGCUGUGGCUGUUGCCCAAUACAAAGGCAGCUCCUUUUUGUAUAUGGCAGUUUUGAACAGCUAAGCUACAUUUGUUUUUCUGAAUUAAAAUUGAAGGCACCAGGAAAGUUAAGCUCAGCUUACUUUUUAAGCCUCGCAGACUGAGGGCCCAACUAGAUGUGAUGCAAUCUGCAGGUUUGUGUUGUUUGUUUUUGCUUCAGAACAAGCAUUCCCGUGUGGAAUUGCUCAUUUUGUACAGUGCCACUAUUUCAGGAAGUGUUGUGUGGUUCAACUAUGAUCUAACAAGGUAUUGUGUCGCUUUUAAGAGACGAACACAUUUACUCUUGCAUGAACAUUCACUGGCCAUAAAGUACAGUGCAUGUACAGCACAAUGUGAUGGUCACAUGAUUUUUUAGUAUUAUUAUUACUCUCUUUG